rnacentral:rRNA from 1 species
GACGAACGCUGGCGGCGUGCUUAACACAUGCAAGUCGAACGAUGAACUACCAGCUUGCUGGUGGGGAUUAGUGGCGAACGGGUGAGUAACACGUGAGUAACCUGCCCUGGACUCUGGGAUAACCCCGAGAAAUCGGAGCUAAUACCGGAUAGGACCUUUCCCUGCAUGGGGUUUGGUGGAAAGUUUUUCGGUCUGGGAUGGACUCGCGGCCUAUCAGCUUGUUGGUGAGGUAAUGGCUCACCAAGGCGUCGACGGGUAGCCGGCCUGAGAGGGGGACCGGCCACACUGGGACUGAGACACGGCCCAGACUCCUACGGGAGGCAGCAGUGGGGAAUAUUGCACAAUGGGCGCAAGCCUGAUGCAGCAACGCCGCGUGCGGGACGACGGCCUUCGGGUUGUAAACCGCUUUUAGUAGGGAAGAAGGGCUUCGGCUUGACGGUACCUGCAGAAAAAGGACCGGCUAACUACGUGCCAGCCGCCGCAGUAACAC